CUUUCAGGUCCGUUGUACCUUCCAUCUACAUGCUCAACGUGUAGAGUGAAGGUGAAAAGCAUGAGAAUUAUUUGAAUGUAAUCUUUGACAUGAUCAGAAGAAAAUAGUUUUGGUUAAAGUUUGGUUGAUUUUCAUAUGAAAGACACUGGAGGAUUUCCUGAAACAACUAAGCAGACUCUGGCGGUCUUGUGAUUUCGUCCCUUGACGCUCUGAGAAGUUACCACAGUAUCACCAUACAGCUGUUCACACUGUACCAGAUGCUGACGAUGAGUGCUGGCAGGUGGAUUUUCCUCUUAGCCCUGUGCUUCACGCAUGUGGAUUCAAAAAAUGAGCGUUUAAACAAAGAAGAAGAUGUCUUGUGGGAUAGUCAAUGUGAACCACGGUCACUCAUCAGGGCUCCUCUGGGUUCGUCUGUGUUCCUACCGUGCAACAUAUCAACAAGUAGCCAAAACUGGGUGACAUGGACCCACAAUGACGAGGCAGACCUGGCAAAGCUCUACUUUGACGGCGCGUCAACUUCCUGGACCCCAGAGAUGGCAGAGUGAAAGUUUUUCCAAACCAGAUCUUAGGGAGGGACUUCUCCAUCCGCAUCGAUGAGCUUUACACCUCUGACCUGGGCAACUAUUACUGCAUACAGGGAGAUUACUGUCAAAAAGUGGAGUUGUGUGCUGAUGGUACACUGAGCACGGAGAUGUUGCUACUGAUUUUCAUCAGUGCUGGGGUGGCUGCGCUCAUCCUGCUAAGUGUUGCUGGAUACUUCUGCUGCAAGAA